rnacentral:misc_RNA from 1 species
AACUUUUGACAAUGGAUCUCUUGGCUCUCGCAUCGAUGAAGAACGCAGCGAAAUGCGAUAAGUAAUGCGAAUUGCAGAAUUCAGUGAGUCAUCGAAUCUUUGAACGCAUAUUGCGCCCUUUGGUAUUCCGAAGGGCAUGCCUGUUCGAGCGUCAUUAUCAACCAUCAAGCCUGGCUUGUCGUUGGACCCCUCUGCCGUUGAAAUAUAUGGCAGGUCCGAAUGAUAAUGACGGCGUCGUGUGUUGACCCUAGAUGCGACGAGCUUUUUAUAGCAUGCAUUGAAGUGGUCGACCGACCCGGUCUUUAACCAUCAUUUUCUAAGGUUGACCUCGGAUCAGGUAGGAAUACCCGCUGAACUUAAGCAUAUCAAUAAGCGGAGGCU